rfam:Camelus ferus unplaced genomic scaffold scaffold1541, whole genome shotgun sequence.
GGAGGGUACAGCUCAGUGGUAGAGUGCAUGCCUAGCAUACACGAGGUCCUGGGUUCAAUCCCCAGAACCUCCA